AGUUGUAGUCCCAAAACAUCUGGAGGGCCGAGUUUGCCUGUGCCUGGUCUACACUGACUGGCAGCAGCUCUCCAGGAUUUCAGACAGCGAUCUCUCCCAGCUCUUCCCAGAGCUGCCAGGGGGUUUGAACCUGGGACCUUAUGCAUGUAAGGUAGCAGUGCUCUGCUACUGAGCCACAGCACCUCCUGAUUACAUCUGGGGUGGUUCACCUUGGCUACAUGGAAUGCUGAAACACUGAUCCCACCAAGAUUCGCCCCCAAAACAUUUAAUAUUUUAAUUACCAUUCCUUGACUCCAAAAUAACGAAAAGUUACGCUGGUAAAUGCAGUUUCUACAGAAGCACAAGUUAUCUUUAUAAAUAGCUUUUUUAUUUUUUUUAAUGUACAUUACUAAAUAAAAUAUAUUGGAUAGCUAAAAGAUUUUGUGAAUUAAAGAAAAAAAAUUUAAAUAUAUUUUUGCAUGCUCAGCUAUUUGGCAGAAUUCCUUCACUAAUUGUAUCAGUGACAGAAUACUAUAUACAGUACCCCAUGGCAGGAGGCAAGCAGGGCUUCUCACAAGGGACUUUUAAACUGCUUGAAUUAUUACACACAGAUCUUUGGUGGUGCCACUAACCCUCCUGCUGUCUAUCAUUCUCACUGUUCACAACUCAAGUCUUUUUGCACUGUAAAGGUCCACACAACAACCCCCACCCCCACUAAAUAGGAUAAUCUUUUCCCUUUCACCCAUCCAUUUUAGCCCAUGCUGGCCCAAUUCACAAUGACCUUAGAGGAACUUCUGGAAAGGAAGGAAAGAAAAAAUUAGGCAUUAAAAGCCUGCCCUCAAAUUUCAGUGUACAACUCCAUGGGAAAGUAGAAUAGUGUGUUCCACAUAGAGCCUUUCUGCUCACAGGAAGCAUUUUGAAAUGCAUCAAGAUUGCAAUGCACAUUUAAAUCCCCCCCCCCUUCCAUUUCCCUCUCUUACAGGCUAGUUCUCCUGGGCGUGUUUCAUCACCUGGUGUACAUCAGGUGUGAGUGAACCAUCAGGGAUAGAACUUCCAUAAUGCUUCUCCUUAGACACAAGAUUUCUCAAGGCAAUUGAAUCUCACAGGGCUGUUUCACACAUUACACAGAGGCAAGCCUGGGUUUGCCAAAGUGUUGUACACUCAGCAGAGUCCUGGCCCUCUGCUGAGCGUAUGAUAGAAAACAUAUUUGCAUACAUGUAGCUUGUGUAGUAUCCUAAAUGUGUUUCCAUGCAUUCACAGGUGAUUUUCAGUGGGUCCCCUAAAAAUUUGUGAGCUGGCUCAGCAUCCAAGCAUUCAGUUAUCAGGUUACAUGCAUGCAUGUCUGAAUCAGCCCACAUCCAUACAAGCAGCAGGAAGAAGCUUAAAGGCCCUGCUAGUGCCGCUUGUGGAAAAGUCUGCUGUAGGCCGUCUCCUGCACGCAUGAAUCACUCAAAUUGCACAGAACUGCUGAUCCCUUUCAAUGCAAAUAUGUGCACAGGAAAUUCAUUAUACUGUACUGGGAAGUGUGCUGUAAAUAGGAAUUAUUAUUUUCAAACAGAUCACUUCAUUUUUAAUUGGUAUGAGGAAUUCAUUGCUCAUUUUGAACCUUAGUUUUAUGCAAAGGGAGAAACGUACUACUUAAUCUUCUUUUGUCUUUCAUGAUGAAUAUCAGUAUUGACCUAAGCUGGCAAGCGAAUCCCAAGAAUCAGCUUCAGCUGCCCCUAGUGCAUCAGAAAAGUUGAAACAGCCUGUACCCUAUACUUGGCACAUGAGGGUGUGUGUUUAGAGAGAUGCCAUACUCUGCCCCGUAUACCUGGGGGAUAUGGGUACAGACAAAUGCUUGUGUGUCCUUUUCUGCCUCUAGAACAGGGUUUCCCAAACUUGGGAAACUCUGCUCUAGAGCCAACGAACAACCCUUUACUUGCUGCUUAAGGUAGCAUCUUGCCGUCCUCUGCCCUUGUGCUCCAUCCCAAUGGGACCAUGGCAAAAAAUAAGUGGAAGAGCAACACUGAUUCUGCAAUGAUUGCCACUGGGAUGGUGCUCUUGUGCUAGAGCAAGGGAACAAGAUGUCCCCGCAAGCUGACAGUAUGCUCAUGCUGCUGCCUAACUGUGGGCGCUUAUCGGAUGAGGCUUUUAAGUCUCUGAUUGGAUUAGCCCGUCCAAAGGAUACCAAUAGGAUAAGGAAGGUUUGCUUAUAUGUUAGGUAGGCCUGAUCUGUAUAGGACAACCUUGAAGCAUUCAGGUGUCUUUGAGUUAUGGCACCAGAGGGAACAUCUGUAUAAUAUAUAAGCCAGAGUAUAUGCUAAAAGCACUUUCUUCCUAUUCUAGGAAUGCCAUAAUCUAAGGUAAGACCCAGAAGUAAAGACAAAUGAUUCAGGAAGAGGCAUUAUGUUAUUGUACUGUUCCCUCAUCACCCCAGAAAAGGAAUGGUCUAUAUAUGCCUAAUAAUUUCCUUCCCUUUUGCCCAAGAGACAAAAACUCCAGCCAUGGUCUCAUUUCAUGGCAGACUGGAAAUUGCCUGCACUUUAAAGGAGUCCGGAUUUGGAUUCCAAAACCCCACAACCCCGAAAUCCUGAAUUUUGUUCAGUUUGUUAUUUUUAUUGCUGGUUAUUUUUCAACAGAAUGAUACUUAUACUCUCACCCUGAUAAAAGAUUUAUUCUAUGUGGUAUUUGAUUAUACUGCAUUAUGUACACACACACAAAUACAUGAUCUGACAAAAAUGCAUAUUGGAUGGCAAUGGUUAUUUAUGUUGAAGAGUCCCAUAAUGUAAUCCAUAUGCAAAACCCAUAGAAUUAAAGCCAUGCAAACAAAGUGAGUCUCCUAUCUCCCAAGAUUUAUUACAUUCUUUUUGGAGGGGGAGGGGGGAGAAUUUCUUAAGUUGGUCUCAAACUUGUGCCUUGAAUUUGCUCCUGAAACAGAUUCACUCGUGUGGUCUGAAGAGAGAAUACAACUACUAAUGUAUUUUGGGGUGCAGGGCAGGGGGAAUUCCAAACGUUACUGGAAUUCCAGUAAUGAUGCGUUUAAGCUGUGUUUAUCGGGGGAAGCUGAGUAAGUUUUAGAUUGACAGUAUGAAAUGUAUUGCACGGCUCCUGAAGUGGAGGAAAGAAAAGGCUCUCUACUCUGAUACCAAAGUGGCCAAUAGAUUAAACAUGAAAAUAUUUCUUUAUUUGGGAAUGUAUGCUGCAAAAAAGAGAGAGAGUACAAGAUAGAUGAAUUUUGCCAUAAAGCACUGAAUUCCCCAAAAGCUGAUACUGUGUUAGUUUUAUUAUGUUAGCUGCCCUGAGCCCUGCUUCAGCCAGGAAGGGCGGGGUACAAAUAAAAUAUUAUUAUUAUUAUUCACAAACCAGCAGUACACAGGUGUCUUAUACACUAUGAGCCACUGAACUAGCAAAUGUAUAUGACGAUUCGCACGACUGCUACCCCAGUACACUCCCACAAUCCCUGACACUUUGUGAGCAGUCCCAGGAAGUUGUACUGGUACUGUACAGUUUCUCAGUGCAGCCAGCAACUAUUAGUAGUAGCAGUGACAAUAUACAAAAUGGUUGUGUGGCAAAAGGAAGGGUAUGCUUAUCUGUGCAGCAUUCAAAAGGCAUUUUUAGGCUUCAUGUUCUAGAAUCUAGGAACAUGACUGUAGCUUUGAGUGUUUGUUUCACAGCUCGUCAAAGCACACAGCCCUUCCAGCUUUAUUUAUUUAUUUUGGAGGGGGAGUUAUGAACAGGAGGGGGGUGGAAAGGGGCUUGCAUAUUCUUAGGAAGGAAGGGAAGUGUUGCCCUCACUCUGAAUUGGCUUUUAUGACAUCAUAAUGUCACCACAUUUGAUUGGCUCUGUGGCAUCAUGCAGUGCAGCCCUUAGCUGGCCAGGUCAUGCUUCCAAGUAGAUGGAGACUAAAUAAAAUAAUAUAAAAGACAACAGAGAAGCAGACUGCAGAAACUAGCAGUUGCCCUCAAGCAGCAAAUAAGUUGAGAAAGGAGGUGGUUUUGAUAACAUAUUGGUUCCCACUCACCCCAAAAAGUCUCUUUUCAUGGGCCAACCUUUUUGAUAUGCAAGUACUUGAAUGUUUAGUUAAAUGUUGUGGUUUGAGACCUACUUAGGAAGCUAACUAUGAUCCUAAACUCUUUAUUUAGUAGUAAAUCCUAUAAAUUGAAUUGAGAUUUACAACACAACCCUAUGCAUGCUUUAUUCUAAAGUAACUUCAAUGGGGUUUAAUCCCUGGUAAGUGGGCUUAGAACUUCAGCUCAGAAUCCAUGCCAGCGUACUUAGGAUAGCAGCCUGUUACUUGCUUUUGUCACAAUUUAUAUAGCCUUUCUAUAUCAGACUAUAUACUGCUCUUUCUCCACUUCUGAACUGAUCCAUCUUACCCUGUUUUUACUCUGUCUUAAAUGAAAAACGAGUCCUGUGCAGGUCUGUGAGUCAUACUAAAUAUUCCAUGGGACAGAAGCAAGUCCCAUUAUCUUCAAUAGAGCUUACUUCCUGGCCCAAUAAGCACGUUUAGGAUUACAGUUGAUUAAAUAUGAAACUGCUGCUACAUUCACUGGGGUGUGAGAUGCUUAUAGGACUGAGUUCCUCUAAAAGAUCUUUGAUAGCUAAAUGCUUGAUAAACCACAGAGGACAGGAAAACUGGAUGCAAAGCAGUUCCUUGCUGUACCUUUCUCGGAGACUUGAAAGUGGUUUAAAAGAGGGAUCAUGGCUUGCAGUGUGUCUUCUGACUUCUGCGCCCAGUAAGCAGGUUUUGCCUCAUUUGGGGUUUGUUUUUUGUUCUUUAAAAGUCGUGCAAAACUUGCUUAUUUAUUUAUUUGGGGGUUUAUAUAUCCCGCCUUUCAUACUAACCUCAAGGCAGCUAACUCCUCCAAAAAUCAUACACCAUACAUUGACCAGCAGUGAAAGUGGGACACAAGAAAUUUGUGUGUGCAAUAAGGGGCGGUAAAGCAGUGCUCUCUCUCAAACCACUUUCAAUUCUCAUUCAAAAACUAUUGCGUUUCCAGCUUUCUGCAGCUCUCUCAAAAGAGCACGGCAGAGUAGAAUGUAGUAUGGCUGUUGGGUUUUCGUUUUUUGCAAUGUCCCUGAUCCUGCAGUGGGAAUCUGCACUUCAAACCUUACUAAGAGGGAGCACUACUAACUGAAUAAAUGCUGCAGGACCAGGGUUUGGUUUUGUGGUUCUGGGUUGUUUGGGUGGUUUUUUCUUUUUUCCUUUUUAAUGGUAUGCAAGAGCUAGUUUUGUGUUUAUUUUUAUGACUUUGUGAUGAUCCGAACUCUGAUGUUGGGUUGCAAGUCAGCCUGGAAGACUGCCUACUGAGUCUUCCCUUUGGAUCAGCAUUUUAUCCUUCGUGUCGUUCACUCUUAAUCAUCAUUGUGCCAAGUUUAUUUUCUUUUUAUAUGAUUUCUUACAUCCACUGCAGAUACAACAAAAUAAGUAGCUAGUUUUUCAACAGUGGAUUUUUGUUGUUGUUUGGUCAAUUUUAAAACAUAAAGACACAGGAAAGGGUUCCAAAUUAUAAUUAUUUUCCUUAGGUCGUUUUUAUACUGAAAAGUGUACAGAAAGUUGCAUUCACCUCACCAAAUACUGUUGUGAAUGUAGAAAUUGGCGCUCCAGCUCUCUCUCUUUCAGUUUCCACGACCUUCUGUCCUUUUCCAUCUAAAGGCUCUUUCUUAUGAUUUAAAUGUUAAAGAUUAGGUUGUUCCAACAGAACUUUUGUUUAGGUCAUUGUUAACAUUGCCUAAGCGCUGAAGUUAAUGCAGGAAAUUAAAACUCCAAUGUAAUUUUAAAGCAAAUUAUGAAUAACGUUUGUACCUGUGUGAAACCAAAGAUUUUUGCCAUUAAAAUUGCAGCACCUUAAAAGUUCAAAAUUGUAUAGUAGAAGGCCCCUUUGCUCCUUGGUAUUCAAACCAUGCCAAGCUGUAUGAUUCCCCUUUUCAGUUAGGGCAAACUAGUGUUUGGUAGGGUUUAGAAAUCUGCUCUUCUGUUAUCCUAUACCAGUAGUUUGCUAUUUGUGCCAUUUACUUGAACAGAGCAAGCAACUCCUGUCUAAUGAACUAGAAAACCAUUGCCCUGCAAAUAGAGGACCAUGCCAAAACCUUCCCUAAAAGGGCUGAUUAGAUCACUCUUUAGUGUUUAUAUCAGGCUUUCUCAACCUAGGACCCUCCUCACGCUUUUGGACCACAACUCCCAUCAUCACAACUCCAAUAUCUGAGGGGCACCAGGUUGGAGAAAGACUGGUUUAGAUGCUGUCACAUUCAUGGUUUCUUCUGCAGAUACAAAGCAGUGGUUUUCAAUCACAAUACUAUCAGGGAAUCCUUUCUGCAUUAACUUUUCUGGUAAAAAAAAAACACACAACAAAGUCCAGUGCAUUGAGCGUUCUGGGGGUAGGGGAGUGUUUUGAUGUGUAUAUAUUGCUGUGUUGUGACUGAAUGAAGUGCAACACCCAAGACUCCCAUGCAGAUGCACAUUAAAGGGCAAGAAGGUGGAUGUGAUGGACAAACUCGUUCAGGAAAACAUAGCUGCCGUUUUUUAUCUUCCCUGAUAAUAUUCCAAAGGAGCCCAUGGUUUCUUGGAGCACUGUCAGAAAACCACUCCCCUAAUGAGUAGAACCUGAUUCACCACCAAAUUUGGCAAGGCCUCUGGGUCAUUGGUCUUGCAAAGGACACUUUUAUGUGCACUACCUUUUAUUUUAUUUUUGUACUUUGCAUGUUCUCCAUGCUGCUGUCCUGAAAUUCAAAGCACUUUCUGAAAGAAAAUUGAUUGUAACCGAGAGCUACUGUCAUUUUCCUAACUCCUUUAAUGAAAAUUGCUAGCAUGUUGUUUCUGUCUGUCUGUCUGUUGGCUUGUUUGUUCUGACGCCCACAGAAAGAAUGUAGAACUCCUAAGGUCUGUCAACUCAAGAUGCUUGAAAGGUGGAUAGCUUCUGAUAUUCAGUAACCUUGAAUUGUGGUGAAAUCUGAAAGCAUCAGAAGCUGACAUGGCCAGACAGGCAAGGU